rnacentral:rRNA from 1 species
GACGAACGCUGGCGGCGUGCCUAAUACAUGCAAGUCGAGCGAAGUUUUUCUGGUGCUUGCCCUAGAAAAACUUAGCGGCGCACGGGUGAGUAACACGUAAAGAACCUGCCUCAUAGACUGGGACAACUAUUGGAAACGAUAGCUAAUACCGGAUAACAGUAUUUCUCGCAUGAGAGAUAUUUAAAAGUUGGUUAUGCUAACACUAUGAGAUGGCUUUGCGGUGCAUUAGCUAGUUGGUGGGGUAAAGGCCCACCAAGGCGACGAUGCAUAGCCGACCUGAGAGGGUGAUCGGCCACACUGGGACUGAGACACGGCCCAGACUCCUACGGGAGGCAGCAGUAGGGAAUCUUCCGCAAUGGGCGAAAGCCUGACGGAGCAACGCCGCGUGAGUGAAGAAGGAUUUCGGUUCGUAAAGCUCUGUUGUUAGGGAAGAAUGGAUAUGUAGUAACUAUACAUGUAAGAGACGGUACCUAACCAGAAAGCCACGGCUAACUACGUG